AAGACCUUGCACUUUUGGAGCGGCCGAUGUCUGAUUAGCUAGUUGGUGGGGUAAUGGCCUACCAAAGCUUCGAUCAGUAGCUGGUCUGAGAGGACGGCCAGCCACACUGGGACUGAGACACGGCCCAGACUCCUACGGGAGGCAGCAGUGGGGAAUUUUGGACAAUGGGCGCAAGCCUGAUCCAGCCAUGCCGCGUGAGUGAAGAAGGCCUUCGGGUUGUAAAGCUCUUUCAGCCGGGAAGAAAAGGUUGCGAUUAAUAAUCGCAAUUUAUGACGGUACCGGAAGAAGAAGCACCGGCUAACUACGUGCCAGCAGCCGCGGUAAUACGUAGGGUGCGAGCGUUAAUCGGAAUUACUGGGCGUAAAGGGUGCGCAGGCGGUUUUGUAAGUCAGAUGUGAAAUCCCCGGGCUUAACUUGGGAACU
rnacentral:rRNA from 1 species